UUGAACUGUUGACACGAGUUGUUGCUGGCCCUCAAAUGGGGGCAUGUGCACGCUCUGUUUACAAAUCCACUCACACCUGUGCACCCUCUGUAGUUCUAUGGUGUGGAGGGCACUGUCCUCUGACCGUGGUUCUAUGUCUUUACACACACACACAGUGACAAAGUCUAAUGGGAUGUAUGUGGCGUUUAACGCAAUAUAAUA
rnacentral:misc_RNA from 1 species